AUGCUGUUGGACGCAACGUUACGGUGAAUGGCGAUCGCUAUCGUUCGAUGCUAACAAACUUUUUGUUGCCAAAAAUGGAAGAACUGAACUUGGUUGACAUGUGGUUUCAACAAGAUGGCGCUACAUGCCACACAGCUCGCGAUUCUAUGGCCAUUUUGAGGGAAAACUUCGGACAACAAUUCAUCUCAAGAAAUGGACCCGUAAGUUGGCCACCAAGAUCAUGCGAUUUAACGCCUUUAGACUAUUUUUUGUGGGGCUACGUCAAGUCUAAAGUCUACAGAAAUAAGCCAGCAACUAUUCCAGCUUUGGAAGACAACAUUUCCGAAGAAAUUCGGGCUAUUCCGGCCGAAAUGCUCGAAAAAGUUGCCCAAAAUUGGACUUUCCGAAUGGACCACCUAAGACGCAGCCGCGGUCAACAUUUAAAUGAAAUUAUCUUCAAAAAUUAAUGUCAUGAACCAAUCUAACGUUUCAAAUAAAGAACCGAUGAGAUUUUGCAAAUUUUAUGCGUUUUUUUUUAAAAAAAAGUUAUCAAGCUCUUAAAAAAUCACCCUUUAUUUCAUU